ACCCUCUCAGGGUUGCACCUGGAGACUUUCCAAUACUCUACCAGUCUCGACUACAGGAGGGAGACUACAGAGACAUACCCGUUCCAUUCCUAGCUUGGGCAGUGGCUAGUGAGUGGAAGGCAAUCUGCCACAAGU